UACAGAGGGGGCAAGCGUUGUUCGGAAUUACUGGGCGUAAAGCGUGCGCAGGCGGUCUGUUAAGACAGAUGUGAAAUCCCCGGGCUUAACCUGGGAACUGCAUUUGUGACUGGCAGGCUAGAGUAUGGCAGAGGGGGGUAGAAUUCCACGUGUAGCAGUGAAAUGCGUAGAUAUGUGGAGGAACACCGAUGGCGAAGGCAGCCCCCUGGGUCAAAACUGACGCUCAUGCACGAAAGCGUGGGGAGCAAACAGG
rnacentral:rRNA from 1 species